AAUCUGGCAACGCUACGAGUUAUUUGCGUGUCGUUUACGCGGUCAUCGUGUGGUAAGCGCGGCAUCUUCAAAUUUUAACAAAUGGGAACUAUGCUGCUACUGCUACAUGUAAAAUAUAAACUUCAAAGUGCUUUCUGCAUUUAGAGAAUUCUGCAGAUAUUUGAUCAUUUUUAUCAGUUAUUUAAAAUUUAUUGUAAAUAAAUGUGUUGAAUAAAAUAUUUUGAAAGAUCAGUUAA